CUAGAAUUAAAUGCACUACUCUAUUUUCAAAUAUUUGAUGAAAUAUAUUAGUGUAUCUUUAACCGCGUAUUAAGCGGUAACCACCUAAGUAGUGGAAAGAAACUGGAAUACUGGACGAGUACUAUGAGCGAGAGAUAUUGCGGGAUACAUUGUUUUUUUUUUUUGUUAGCAAACUGCUCAAUAACGAACCAUAAUCUAUCGUGGUUCAAUCUGCUAAUUCAUACUCGAUUGAUUUUCUCUGCCAAUUACUCAAGGUUGAAUUUAUAAGUUCUUUGUUCGUUGAAGGAGAGUUUCUGAAAAAGAAAAUUAUCUGCGCUACAUACUCCAUUGAUUCAACUGCAAUUACACAAGGGUCGGUGGCUCGGUACAACGGGGAUUCAAACUGAAUUGCGCUGCACUACGUACUCCAUUGAUUCAACUGCAAUUACACAAAGGUCGGUGCAAUCCCGGGAAUUCAAACUAAACUGAAUACUCGAUUGAUUAAAUCUGCAAUUACUCAAAGGUCGGUGCUUUAUUUUGAGCAAAUUAUUUAUAUUUUUGUUGUUUAUGAAACCAAAAAAAUCUAGAUUUAUCCAAAUUAUCAUUGAAUUAGAUUAUUUAUAUUUUUGUUGUACUGAAAUUUUGGGGCUAGCUGAUGCUGCAAGUGUAAUCCAGCAAGAACGAUUUCAAACCCCAGCAGAUGCUACUGGAAUUAACAACCACAGGUUGCUGCAUCUGAACCUGCUUUGGGUUCAAGAUGAUGGUGAAGGAAAAGAAGGCAAGGAUCCAUGAAAUGAAUUAGUUCAACUCAUAAAGCUAUUAAUGAUUUGAAACGGCCUUGUAAAAUAUAUAUUUCUUUUGUUAUGUUUUUUUUUUUUUUUUUUUUUGUAAGGUUUGAAUAAGUUGAUAGUAGAUAUUAUCUAAUUGACUUAUUUUAUUUGUGAUCGAACAGAAUAUUUUAGUGUGUAUUUAAUCAUUAACAUUAUUAUAUAUUAGUCAUUUCUACCUAAUUACUUUUUUA